UACGGAGGAUCCAAGCGUUAUCCGGAUUUAUUGGGUUUAAAGGGUGCGUAGGCGGAUUGAUAAGUUAGAGGUGAAAUGUCCGAGCUCAACUCGGGAACUGCCUCUAAUACUGUUGAUCUAGAGAGUAGAUGCGGUAGGCGGAAUGUAUGGUGUAGCGGUGAAAUGCUUAGAUAUCGAGAGGAACACUCGUGGCGAAGGCGGGUUCCUGGACAUUAACUGACGCUGAGGCACGAAGGCCAGGGGAGCGAAAGGG
rnacentral:rRNA from 1 species